rnacentral:rRNA from 1 species
UAGGGAAUCUUCGGCAAUGGGGGGAACCCUGACCGAGCAACGCCGCGUGAGUGAAGAAGGUUUUCGGAUCGUAAAGCUCUGUUGUUAAGGAAGAACGAGUGUGAGAAUGGAAAGUUCAUACUGUGACGGUACUUAACCAGAAAGGGACGGCUAACUACGUGCCAGCAGCCGCGGUAAUACGUAGGUCCCGAGCGUUGUCCGGAUUUAUUGGGCGUAAAGCGCGCGUAGGCGGUUUUUUAAGUCUGAUGUGAAAGCCCACGGCUCAACCGUGGAGGGUCAUUGGAAACUGGAAAACUUGAGUGCAGAAGAGGAAAGUGGAAUUCCAUGUGUAGCGGUGAAAUGCGCAGAGAUAUGGAGGAACACCAGUGGCGAAGGCGACUUUCUGGUCUGUAACUGACGCUGAUGUGCGAAAGCGUGGGGAUCAAACAGG